UACGUAGGUGGCUAGCGUUGUCCGGAUUUACUGGGCGUAAAGGGCGCGUAGGCGGCAAUUCAAGUCAGCUGUGAAAUCUCCGGGCUUAACUCGGAACGGUCAGCUGAUACUGCUUUGCUAGAGUGCAGAAGGGGCAAUCGGAAUUCUUGGUGUAGCGGUGAAAUGCGUAGAUAUCAAGAGGAACACCUGAGGUGAAGACGGGUUGCUGGGCUGACACUGACGCUGAGGCGCGAAAGCUAGGGUAGCAAACGGG
rnacentral:rRNA from 1 species